UACGUAGGUGGCAAGCGUUAUCCGGAAUUAUUGGGCGUAAAGCGCGCGCAGGCGGUUUUUUAAGUCUGAUGUGAAAGCCCACGGCUCAACCGUGGAGGGUCAUUGGAAACUGGGGAACUUGAGUGCAGAAGAGAAAAGCGGAAUUCCACGUGUAGCGGUGAAAUGCGUAGAGAUGUGGAGGAACACCAGUGGCGAAGGCGGCUUUUGGUCUGUAACUGACGCUGAGGCGCGAAAGCGUGGGGAGCAAACAGG
rnacentral:rRNA from 1 species